ensembl:snoRNA
GGCACGUGUGUGUUUCUGUCUUAAAUUAUGGACUAAGACUUAAUGGACAGGUGCAAAAUUAAUCAAUCCUCUUUUGCAAUCCAGAGCUCAUUGUUUAGUAUGAGUUUUGAUACACAUGAGAAGGAAUACU